UCGGGAAUUUUGGGCAAUGGGCGAAAGCCUGACCCAGCAACGCCGCGUGAGGGAUGAAGUAUUUCGGUAUGUAAACCUCGAAAGAAUGGGAAGAAUAAAUGACGGUACCAUUUAUAAGCUCCGGCUAACUACGUGCCAGCAGCCGCGGUAAUACGUAGGGAACAAGCGUUGUUCGGAUUUACUGGGCGUAAAGGGCGCGUAGGCGGCGCGGUAAGUCACUUGUGAAAUCUCUGAGCUUAACUCAGAACGGCCAAGUGAUACUGCUGUGCUAGAGUGCGGAAGAGGCAACCGGAAUUCUUGGUGUAGCGGUGAAAUGCGUAGAUAUCAAGAGGAACACCUGAGGCGAAGGCGGGUUGCUGGGCCGACACUGACGCUGAUGCGCGAAAGCCAGGGGAGCAAACG
rnacentral:rRNA from 1 species